UUUUGUUCUCUCUAAACAUUUUCUAGGAGCUCAAAAAUUGUGCUUUCCAGCGGGCGAGUCCAUCACACUUGCCGCCAUGAGCGAAGAUGCAUCAUCAUACCCUCCAAUCGAGCCGACCAACUUCGAUCUAAUCCUCCUCGGUACAGGCCUACCAGAAUCCGUGAUCGCCGCCGCCGCUUCCGCCAACGGCAAAACCGUCCUCCACCUCGACCCCAACCCAUUCUACGGCUCCAACUACACCUCCCUCUCCCUCCAAGACCUCUCCUCUUUCCUCAUUUCCCAUUCUGCCCCUCCUCCCUCUCCGCCCUCCGCCCCAUCCGACGGCCACGAUUUCACCCUCGCGGCUCUCGCCGCCCGCCCCCUCUUCUCCCACGUCAAAAUUUCCUCUUUUGCCCCCGACGUCCUCGGCGAAGAACAUUCCAGAAAAUUCAACGUCGACUUGUGCGGACCUAGGGUUUUGUUCUGCGCCGAUAAAUCCGUGGAUCUGAUACUGAAAUCUGGAGCCAACCAGUACAUAGAGUUCAAGGGCGUUGACGCGAGCUUCGUGUAUAGCGAGAAUGGGAAAUUGACUAGCGUGCCGGACUCUCGGGCCGCGAUAUUCAAGGAUAAGAGCUUGGGGCUGACGGAGAAGAACCAGCUGAUGAGGUUCUUCAAGCUGGUUCAGCAGCACUUGGACGGUGAAGGCGGCGGUGAGAAUGAGAGCGGGAAUUCAAGGAUUUCAGAGCAGGAUUUGGAGAGUCCUUUCGUCGAGUUCUUGAACAAAAUGCGGUUGCCUCCAAAGAUAAAAUCGAUUAUUCUGUAUGCUAUAGCAAUGGCCGAUUGUGAUCAGGACAACGUGGAGGUUUGUGAAGAUGUACUUAAGACAAAAGAUGGUAUAGAUCGUUUAACUCUCUACAAUGCAUCGGUUGGCAGGUUUCCAAAUGCACUUGGGGCUUUUCUGUAUCCAGUUUAUGGUCACGGGGAACUACCACAGGCUUUUUGCCGUCGUGCCGCUGUCAAGGGUUGCAUUCAUGUUCUGCGAAUGCCAGUAAUUGCCAUACUUAUGGACAAGUGUACUGGGCAUUAUAAAGGAGUUAGAUUAUCUUCAGGUCAAGACUUAUUCAGCCAUCAGCUAAUCCUGGAUCCAUCCUUCAUAGUUCAGUUGCCAUUAACUUCAUCUCCACCAGGUCUGGGAAGUAUUAAAAGGAAAGUGGCACGGGGAAUAUGCAUUACAAAGAGUUCCUUAAGGCCUGAAACAUCAAAUUUUCUGGUGGUAUAUCCUCCUAGAUCUUUGUUCCCUGAACAGGUUACGUCAAUUCGAGCUCUCCAAAUAGGUAGCGAUUUAGCUGUUUGUCCUUUGGGCAUGUUUGUAAUAUACUUUUCCACAUUGUGUCAUGAUGCCAACCAAGGUCAAAAGUUACUAAAUGCUGCCAUGGAUUCUCUUCUCACACUACCUGAGUCUGCACAUCCUGAAAGUAGUACAACAGUUCACAGUGAAAAUUCAGCAGAAGAAAAGCCCACCGUACUUUGGAAGGCAUUGUAUAUUCAGUAGCUUACCAUGGACCACAUUGAAUCUAUCAGCUCCACUCCCAUGCCAGAUGGAAAUCUUAAUUACAAUAAUAUUUUGCUUGCAACUUUGAAGCUAUUUCAGAAGAUGUAUCCCCUUGAAGAAGUCUUUCCAGAGACAGCCUCGCCUGAGAAUCCUGAGGAUGAUAAUGAGUUCAGUCUAGAGAGCUAACGAUGCUUUGCUGGACUUGAUGACAUUAUCCAUCUUACCACGGCUACGAAUCAUCCACAACCUAUUUUGCCCACCAAUGCUUUGGCUGCAGGAAAUUGCUAAACUGUGGAUGGUUUGAAGUGCUGCUUAUUGUACUUGAAAGAGAGAAUUCACAAUCAACAAUCUACUUCCUCAAAUGUUUUCGCAAAUUUCUGCAGUAUCAUUUAAAAAAAGAAAAGAAAAAGAAACAAAUGCAGAUCUAGUUUUUUGUCAUUUCAGAAAUUGUUAUACCAUUAUUCAACUCUACCUAAACUGCCCAACGGUGGCUUCCGUGGCACCUGUAUUAAAGUGUAAACGAUCAUACAUGCAUACAUACAAAUUCUUGUAGGAUGUCACAGAGUUUUGUAAUUUAUUUUUUAUUUUUUAUCUGAGGACCCAUGGUAGAUUGGCUGGUGUGUUUUGAUUACUUUUCAUAUAUGUAAGUCAUUGUUAUUAUUUGA